UGGGGAAUAUUGCACAAUGGGCGAAAGCCUGAUGCAGCAACGCCGCGUGAGCGAUGAAGGCCUUCGGGUUGUAAAGCUCUGUCUUUUGGGACGAUAAUGACGGUACCAAAGGAGGAAGCCACGGCUAACUACGUGCCAGCAGCCGCGGUAAUACGUAGGUGGCAAGCGUUGUCCGGAUUUUACUGGGCGUAAAGGAUGCGUAGGCGGAUUUUUAAGUGAGAUGUGAAAUACCCGGGCUUAACUUGGGUGCUGCAUUUCAAACUGGGAAUCUAGAGUGCGGGAGAGGAGAAUGGAAUUCCUAGUGUAGCGGUGAAAUGCGUAGAGAUUAGGAAGAACACCAGUGGCGAAGGCGAUUCUCUGGACCGUAACUGACGCUGAGGCAUGAAAGCGUGGGUAGCAAAACAGGAUUAGAUACCCUGGUAGUCCACGCCGUAAACGAUGAGUACUAGGUGUAGGAGGUAUCGACCCCUUCUGUGCCGCAGUUAACACAAUAAGUACUCCGCCUGGGAAGUACGAUCGCAAGA
rnacentral:rRNA from 1 species